rnacentral:rRNA from 1 species
CGGCGGACGGGUGAGUAACACGUGGAUAACCUACCUAUAAGACUGGGAUAACUUCGGGAAACCGGAGCUAAUACCGGAUAAUAUAUUGAACCGCAUGGUUCAAUAGUGAAAGACGGUUUUGCUGUCACUUAUAGAUGGAUCCGCGCCGCAUUAGCUAGUUGGUAAGGUAACGGCUUACCAAGGCAACGGUGCGUAGCCGACCUGAGAGGGUGAUCGGCCACACUGGAACUGAGACACGGUCCAGACUCCUACGGGAGGCAGCAGCC